rnacentral:lncRNA from 1 species
GCUGUGCAUCUGUCCCUCGGGGUUCCAGAGGACAGGUUUACAGGUUGGACAGUCAAGAUAAUAUGGAAAAAGGAAGUUGUUUGUGUGGGUACCAUUAUCAACAACAAGUUUUUCCUUACACUUAGAGACUGCAUUAACGAAAAGAAAAUAGAAGACUACACAGUAGUAGUGGGAGAAGAGGAAGUUCACGAUAUUUCCUACAUUCUCGAGAGUCCUGAUGAUGGUGACGUUGUAACAGUAAGACUGUCUGCAAAAAGUGAUGAUCGCUCAGCCUGAUAUUGCUAGGAUUCCUAAGGUUGCUAAUAAGGCACAGAUAGUAAAAGCAAGACAAAACAAGCGGGAGAAUUACAUCAGCGGAAUUGACAGCACAGGGGACGACCUCUUGCUCAAAAUAAACGUUCUGCCGGACAAUAAAUGUAAAGGUGGCUUUACACGUGGUGAACACCUCUGCUUUGCUGAAAUGUCCAAAGAUGAAGAGGAAAGUGCGUGCUCCUUGAUGCCCGGCUCACCAAUUGUCUCCUACAUAGGCCAGUCCUGGACAUUGUUAGGACUUGCAUCCUUUUCAAAAAGAUGCAAAGGUCAACAGAAGAAAGCCUUGAAUAUCGUGAGUUAUCGUCGGUGGAUCAACAAAAUU